rnacentral:sRNA from 1 species
GCUGGGCAUGGUGGUGCGUGCCUGUAAUCCCAGCUACUCAGGAGGCUGAGGCAAGAGAAUUGCUUGAACCCGGGAGGCAGAGAUUGCAGUGGGCCGAGAUCACGCCACUGCACUCCAGCCUGGGCGACAGAGCAAGACUCUGUCUCAA